rnacentral:rRNA from 1 species
AGCAGCCGCGGUAAUUCCAGCUCCAAUAGCGUAUAUUAAAGUUGUUGCAGUUAAAAAGCUCGUAGUUGAAUUUCGGGAUUGGCGCAUCGGUCGUGCCUCACGGGGUAUGAACUGGUGCAGUCAAUUUCUCACCUUCUGGAGAACCGCGAUGUCCUUAAUUGGAUGCUGCGGGGAACCAGGACCUUUACUUUGAAAAAAUUGAGUGUUUAAAGCAGGCAUUUUUGCUUGAAUACAUUAGCAUGGAAUAAUAAAAUAGGACGGCAUGGUUCUAUUUUGUUGGUUUCUAGGACCACCGUAAUGAUUAAUAGGGAUAGUUGGGGGCAUUAGUAUUCAAUUGUCAGAGGUGAAAUCCUUGGAUUUAUUGAAGACUAACUACUGCGAAAGCAUUUGCCAAGGAUGUUUUCAUUAAUCAAGAACGAAAGUUAGGGGAUCGAAGACGAUCAGAUACCGUCGUAGUCUUAACCAUAAACUAUGCCGACUAGG